AGCGGCGGACGGGUGAGUAAUGCCUAGGAAUCUGCCUGGUAGUGGGGGAUAACGCUCGGAAACGGACGCUAAUACCGCAUACGUCCUACGGGAGAAAGCAGGGGACCUUCGGGCCUUGCGCUAUCAGAUGAGCCUAGGUCGGAUUAGCUAGUUGGUGAGGUAAUGGCUCACCAAGGCGACGAUCCGUAACUGGUCUGAGAGGAUGAUCAGUCACACUGGAACUGAGACACGGUCCAGACUCCUACGGGAGGCAGCAGUGGGGAAUAUUGGACAAUGGGCGAAAGCCUGAUCCAGCCAUGCCGCGUGUGUGAAGAAGGUCUUCGGAUUGUAAAGCACUUUAAGUUGGGAGGAAGGGCAGUAAAUUAAUACUUUGCUGUUUUGACGUUACCGACAGAAUAAGCACCGGCUAACUCUGUGCCAGCAGCCGCGGUAAUACAGAGGGUGCAAGCGUUAAUCGGAAUUACUGGGCGUAAAGCGCGCGUAGGUGGUUUGUUAAGUUGGAU
rnacentral:rRNA from 1 species